rnacentral:rRNA from 1 species
CCUACGGGUGACAGCAGUGGGGAAUAUUGCGCAAUGGGCGAAAGCCUGACGCAGCGACGCCGCGUGAGGGAUGAAGGUCUUAGGAUCGUAAACCUCUGUUAGCAGGGAAGAACGGUCACUGUGCUAAUCAGCAGUGAAUUGACGGUACCUGCAAAGGAAGCACCGGUUAACUCCGUGCCAGCAGCCGCGGUAAUAGGGAGGGUGCGAGCGUUAAUCGGAAUUACUGGGCGUAAAGCGCGCGUAGGCGGUAGGUCAAGUCAAGGGUGAAAUCCCCGCGCUAAACGUGGGAACUGCCUUUGAAACUGGCAGACUGGAGUGUGUGAGAGGAUAGUGGAAUUCCAGGUGUAGGAGUGAAAUCCGUAGAUAUCAGGAGGAACAUCAGUGGCGAAGGCGACUAUCUGGCACAUAACUGACGCUGAGGAGCGAAAGCGUGGGUAGCAAACAGGAUUAGAUACCCCUGUAGUC